UACGAAGGGUGCAAGCGUUAAUCGGAAUUACUGGGCGUAAAGCGCGCGUAGGUGGUUCAGUAAGUUGGAAGUGAAAGCCCCGGGCUCAACCUGGGAACUGCUUUCAAAACUGCUGAGCUAGAGUACGGUAGAGGGUAGUGGAAUUUCCUGUGUAGCGGUGAAAUGCGUAGAUAUAGGAAGGAACACCAGUGGCGAAGGCGACUACCUGGACUGAUACUGACACUGAGGUGCGAAAGCGUGGGGAGCAAACAGG
rnacentral:rRNA from 1 species